GUCUUAUUGAAUUAAAUAAUAAGUCUAUUCUGCCCAUUGAAUAAAAUUUAAAAGGCUGCAGUAUAUUGACUGUACAAAGGUAGCAAAAUCAAUAGUUUUUUAAUUGAAAACUUGAAUGAAAGAAUUGAUAAAAUAUAAACUGUCUCAAAUUAAUUUAUUUUGAAUUUAAAUUGAAAGUUAAAAUGCUUUUAUAAAUUUAUUAGACGAUAAGACCCUAAGAAUUUGAAAAUAUAAUUUAUAAAAUUAAUUUUGUAAUUUUUAGUUGUAUAAAUUUAUAUUUUUUUAUUGGGAGGGUAAUUAAAUUUUUGAACUUUAAUUUUAUAUUAACAAAGAUAAAUGAAUAUUGAUGAUAAUUUUUAUAAUUAUAAGAAUUAAUUACCUUAGGGAUAACAGCGUAAUAAUUUUGGAAAGUUCAUAUUAAUAAAAUUGAUUGCGACCUCGAUGUUGAAUUAAAAUAAAAAUUAGGUGAAGAUGCUUAAAUUUUUAGUCUGUUCGACUAUUGAAAUUUUACA
rnacentral:rRNA from 1 species